rnacentral:lncRNA from 1 species
UUGUGAGAUCUUUCGAGAUUUCAAGGCUUCUUAGGACUUAUCUUUUAAUUUCUUACUGUCAAUUCUUUCUUUAUUUCUACUUGUGCUGAAUCAUUAUCUAAUCUAUUUUCUGUUCUUAUUGUGUUUUCAGCCUUUUUUCUAUCUUAAGGAAUCAGCCCAAAAAUCCCCAAUUUCUAGGGUUUUUCCAUACUCUUUUUGGGUGAAAUUAGAUUGUCGAAAUUUGGGGAAAACUAUCUUGGUGUUCAAUUGGGCAGAAUCACAAUCUCCUUGAGGGUUUCAAGAACCCUAACACUUAUUUCUAUUCUCAAUUUGAUUCUUUGCUGAUUUGGGGAUUUUAUUUCAGAUCUGAAAAUUCAAAAAUCUAAUCUUUUAAUUUUCUGUUUCGUUUCAGAUCUAAUUGUUUAGGGUUUUCGUAGGAGUUUCCCGUGACUUGGCAACUCGAUCUUGGUCCGCGCGCAACCCCGUAUCAUUUGGUAUCAGAUUUUGGGCGUUUUGGGUGUUCUUGGUUGAUUUCUAAACUGAUCUCUAUUUUUUAAAUUACAAACAGCAGUUUUACCCAGAAAAAUUUUCGAAAAAAAUUCAUUUGAGAGGGUAAACGUUUUCUGAUUGAUCUGAAAUUUUACAUACAUAUUUUUGGCACUGUUAUGGAAUAUACAAAAAUAUUUCCCACAAAAAAAUAAGUCGAAAAAGUCAAAAAAUUGAAAAAAGACGAAAUCCAAUAAAAAAUUAAAAAAAUUUUCAGCGGGUUGAAUUUGGUGCCCAAAUUUUCCAGAUCAAAAAUUAAAUAUUUGAAGACAUUCCAGAUUUAAUUUUGUGAUUUUUGGAGAUCGGGAACACCUCGAACGAAGUUGUCAAGUUACUCCGCAGUUUUUCGGGUUUUCUGUUUUCAGCAAUUUUUAUUGAUUCUUAGCUGUAGGUUUUCAUUUGUUUACCUUUAUUCUUCCUUUACGUUAUCUAACACCUUCUUGUUUCUUGUGUUAGUAGGAUUUAAACGUGUGCACAACUUCUUCCUCGGUGCAACACGAAUCAAUUGGUGUCUCGUCAGUUUUUGGCAUCCUAGUGCAAAUUAGGAUUCUUUGGUAGUUUGGUUCACACUCUCUAAUUGGUUGAUAUAAACUCUGAUAAAGAACUCACAAGAUUGAAUUCGACCUCAUUGAGAAUUUGAUUUUUUCUUUUUGAGUGAUUAACGGUGAGGUUUGAUAACUUUUAAUUUUGAGUGUUGAGUGUUUUGCAGGUUUUAAAAAAAAUGUCUACAGGUGAUAAUAAUAGUGACAUAUUUAAAAAAUUCCAACAACAGUUGGAUGAACAGGCUGCUGCUCUUCGAGCUUUGACUGCUACCAUCAAUGAGGUGCAAUUGAAUCAAGAACCUCAAUAUCGAAAUCCAAUCAAAGAAGAUAGGGAUAACCAACCCCAGAGGCGCGGCCCUCGCCGUGUCACUAGAAUGGAUGAUGAUUUUCAUGAUCGUGGACAAUCAUCUUUGGCAAAACCAAAGAGCGAGCAGCAACGAGAACAUCUCUUUCAUACUCGCUGCCAUGUACAAGGUAAGCUUUGUAGAGUUAUUAUUGAUGGUGAAAGUUGCUCGAACAUAGCCAGCACGACGAUGGUGGAAAAGCUUUGCUUAACCACUACCAAGCAUCCACAACCUUAUCAACUACAAGGGCUUAGCAACAAAGGCCAAUUUAGGGUCACUCAACAAGUGCGCAUCGCCUUUUCUAUCGGUAAGUAUCAAGACGAAGUUGUGUGCGACGUAAUGCCUAUUCAAGCCUGCCAUUUGUUGCUAGGAGAACCAUGGCAACUGGAUCGAAAAGUCACUCACGAUGGUCGUACCAAUAGGUAUUCUAUCAAGCAUCAAGGAAAGAAACUCACCUUAGUGCCGCUCACUCUGGAACAAGUCCAUGAGGACCAAAUCAAACUGAAAAAUUCUGUUAAAACAAGUGAGGAAAAAGAAAAAGAGAAUGAAAAAGAGCAAAAAGAGAUUGAGAGUGAAAAAGAAAUUGAAGAAAGAAGAGAAAAUGAAUUAGAAAAAGAAACAAAAGAAAAAGACGUGGAAAGGGUAGUGAGGAAUGUUUCUACUAACCAAGAUAUGAAUUUUUCUUGUGUUGCUACUUUUCAGGUUCCCGAAAGAUCGAAAGAUAACUUUCAACUUCAAUACCUCUCAAAUGAAAGACGCUUUCUUACGAUCAACUUAGGCAAAGAUGAAAUCACACUACAUGAUCCCGAAGGUAAGCGAGGUAAGGAAAUUUUAGAAACCGAGUCCAGUGCAGAUUUGAAAAUUAUUGAUAAAACUUUUGGUGACUUAGUUCUUAAAAGAUCCCCUCAUUUUGAUCCGAUUAAUUGUUACUCUUCGAUUGUGGUUGAUAAAGUCAUUACGAAAAGAAGCGUGAUUUGUUAUUCUCUUGAUUUACCUUGUGUAAAAUCCUCGAAUUUGUCCAAAUCUGUUUUGGAGAAUAAGGUAACGAAAUUUUCCAAAUUUGUUUUCAAUUUAUAUUCGUGCCUUAAAUAGUUUAUGUGGUUGUACAUGAAGUUUGAGUUCCAUUUGACAAAGGUUAACUCAACAACGGAGAUUCGACUACACUAUGCCCCCGAUGAGCGAAGGUUUGUUUUAAAUGAAAAAGGUAAAAUCGACCCUUAUUCUUCUGCUUAUCGAGGUAAGAUGCUUGAAACCUUUGAAACACUUUUGUACUCCUCGGAUAGUGAUAAAGAUCGUGUUGAUGAACACUUAGAUCGAAAUGUGCUUGACUGUCCUAUUUUAUUUAUUGAUGAUCUAUCUGUUUUGAUGGUUGAUAAAAAGAUUCUUGUUUUUGAUAAUGCAUGUGUGAGUGAAUCUAUAGACCGUCGAUUAAUGCAUGGUAUGGUUAUGCAACUCUGUGAACCAUGUGAAUCUUUUCAAAUACCUACUUGUGACGAUUAUGUUUACCAUUUGAUUUAUUACUCGCAAUUUAUUCAUGGUUUGUGCGAACAAUGUGAGACGACUGAAUGCCUUAAAACAUGUCCAUCUUUGUUUCAAAUAUUUGACGAGGCAGUGGUGAGUAAAUUAGAUUGUUUGCAUGGUAAUCUGAAUCUGUCCAUUCACAUGCCUUAUACCUGUUCUGUUAUGCUUAUGAUUGGACUACAAGCUUGUUUCCGUUGCUAUUUACUAUCUCAUGGCUAUUCUUUUCAGUGGACUCAAUUGCCAUUAGUCCCGUUCGAUAGAGGAAAGUCGAGUUCAUUUGAUUUUUCAGAUUCGAGGACGAAUCUUUUUGAGGAAGGGGGGAAUGAUACGAGUCACAAAAGCCCAAAUUCUUGAAGGCGAGGCCCAAUAAGCAAAUUCCCAGCCCAAUCAAGAAAUCCAUCCAUACUUAGUUGAAAAUCAGGCCAAAUUGUCAAAGUGGCCCAAGUUGUAAAGUUUUAUUUUUAUUUUUAUUUAUUUAUUUACUUAGUUUAAAUUUUUAUGUCAAUAUUCAGUCCAAGAGUCCCAGAUAAAAUGACCUUUGACCGAAUUUCCAUAUUAAAAUAAUUAGGAGUUUUUUUUUAUUUUAGUUUUCUAAUUAGAUUAGGACUAGUUAUAAGGCCUAUUUAAAGGCAUGGCUGUCCACCUUGUUAAACACUUAUCAUUAUUAUUAAAAUUUCAGAUUUGUUGAGAGCAGAAUUUUCUUUGAGUUUUCUCCAAGAUUUCUCUCUUGAGUUUUCUUUAGAAGUUGUUUUAACAAUCUUUUGAUUGUGGGAGCCAUCUUCAACCUUCUUCUUGCCAUUGAUAUUCUUUGGAGGGGAGAUUAGAGCCGUUUGAAGGGAGUUGUGAGAUCUUUCGAGAUUUCAAGGCUUCUUAGGACUUAUCUUUUAAUUUCUUACUGUCAAUUCUUUCUUUAUUUCUACUUGUGCUGAAUCAUUAUCUAAUCUAUUUUCUGUUCUUAUUGUGUUUUCAGCCUUUUUCUAUCUUAAGGAAUCAGCCCAAAAAUCCCCAAUUUCUAAGGUUUUUCCAUACUCUUUUUGGGUGAAAUUAGAUUGUCGAAAUUUGGGGAAAACUAUCUUGGUGUUCAAUUAGGCAGAAUCACA